rnacentral:rRNA from 1 species
CUUGGUUCAAAUUCAAGAGUGACGGGCGAUUUGUGCAUGCUUUAUUGCUGUUAAUUUUCAAAAAAUAAUUUUAUUAAAUUUUUAUUAUCAAGUCCUAUUUCUUCUUUCUUUCUUAAAGGUUACAAUUUUUUUACUUUGUGUCCCAUAAUCUUACUAUAUUAUUAUUUCUGUCUUGAUUUGUAUUUUAAUUUUUUUUAUUCCUUAUAUAAAUUUUUACAUUUUUAUUUUAAACAAUGAUAUAGGAAAUUAAACAAAUAGUUCAUUUAAUCGUGGGUUAUCUAUUAUAGUACAGGACCCCCUACUUAGUUAAAGCACCGCCAUUCUGUUUAAUUUUUGUUUAUUUAACUACUAAUUUCUCUUUGAUUAAAA